CGCGGGCAGAAACAAAGCUCCAUUAUAUUACAUUUAAUACAUUCAAAACAAAGCCACAGAAUGGAUACUAGACCAGAAGGGACACUCCUAUGUGUUUUGGCAUGGGAAAAACGUCCGAAAUUUUUUACGUGCUAUGACGCCAUCCUGGAGUGCACACGGCACUUUGUACCUAUGUUUGUCCUAUGAAAAACUUCCGUGUGCACUCCAGGAUGGCGUCAUAUGAUGGCGUAUUUUCACGUCAGCACUCGUAAAAUUUCGGAUGAA